AGAGUUUGAUCAUGGCUCAGAUUGAACGCUGGCGGCAGGCCUAACACAUGCAAGUCGAACGGUAACAGGAAGCAGCUUGCUGCUUCGCUGACGAGUGGCGGACGGGUGAGUAAUGUCUGGGAAGCUGCCUGAUGGAGGGGGAUAACUACUGGAAACGGUAGCUAAUACCGCAUAAUGUCGCAAGACCAAAGAGGGGGACCUUCGGGCCUCUUGCCAUCGGAUGUGCCCAGAUGGGAUUAGCUUGUUGGUGGGGUAACGGCUCACCAAGGCGACGAUCCCUAGCUGGUCUGAGAGGAUGACCAGCCACACUGGAACUGAGACACGGUCCAGACUCCUACGGGAGGCAGCAGUGGGGAAUAUUGCACAAUGGGCGCAAGCCUGAUGCAGCCAUGCCGCGUGUAUGAAGAAGGCCUUCGGGUUGUAAAGUACUUUCAGCGGGGAGGAAGGGAGUAAAGUUAAUACCUUUGCUCAUUGACGUUACCCGCAGAAGAAGCACCGGCUAACUCCGUGCCAGCAGCCGCGGUAAUACGGAGGGUGCAAGCGUUAAUCGGAAUUACUGGGCGUAAAGCGCACGCAGGCGGUUUGUUAAGUCAGAUGUGAAAUCCCCGGGCUCAACCUGGGAACUGCAUCUGAUACUGGCAAGCUUGAGUCUCGUAGAGGGGGGUAGAAUUCCAGGUGUAGCGGUGAAAUGCGUAGAGAUCUGGAGGAAUACCGGUGGCGAAGGCGGCCCCCUGGACGAAGACUGACGCUCAGGUGCGAAAGCGUGGGGAGCAAACAGGAUUAGAUACCCUGGUAGUCCACGCCGUAAACGAUGUCGACUUGGAGGUUGUGCCCUUGAGGCGUGGCUUCCGGAGUUAACGCGUUAAGUCGACCGCCUGGGGAGUACGGCCGCAAGGUUAAAACUCAAAUGAAUUGACGGGGGCCCGCACAAGCGGUGGAGCAUGCGGUUUAAUUCGAUGCAACGCGAAGAACCUUACCUGGUCUUGACAUCCACGGAAGUUUUCAGAGAUGAGAAUGUGCCUUCGGGAACCGUGAGACAGGUGCUGCAUGGCUGUCGUCAGCUCGUGUUGUGAAAUGUUGGGUUAAGUCCCGCAACGAGCGCAACCCUUAUCCUUUGUUGCCAGCGGUCCGGCCGGGAACUCAAAGGAGACUGCCAGUGAUAAACUGGAGGAAGGUGGGGAUGACGUCAAGUCAUCAUGGCCCUUACGACCAGGGCUACACACGUGCUACAAUGGCGCAUACAAAGAGAAGCGACCUCGCGAGAGCAAGCGGACCUCAUAAAGUGCGUCGUAGUCCGGAUUGGAGUCUGCAACUCGACUCCAUGAAGUCGGAGUCGCUAGUAAUCGUGGAUCAGAAUGCCACGGUGAAUACGUUCCCGGGCCUUGUACACACCGCCCGUCACACCAUGGGAGUGGGUUGCAAAAGAAGUAGGUAGCUUAACCUUCGGGAGGGCGCUUACCACUUUGUGAUUCAUGACUGGGGUGAAGUCGGAACAAGGUA
rnacentral:rRNA from 1 species